AGUGAACGCUGGCGGCAGGCCUAAUACAUGCAAGUCGAACGGCAGCACAGCAGAGCUUGCUCUGUGGGUGGCGAGUGGCGGACGGGUGAGGAAUACAUGGGAAUCUGCCCAGUCGUGGGGGAUAACGUAUGGAAACGUACGCUAAUACCGCAUGCGCCCUACGGGGGAAAGUCGGGGACCGCAAGGCCUGACGCGAUUGGAUGAGCUCAUGUUCGAUUAGCUAGUUGGCGGGGUAAAGGCCCACCAAGGCGACGAUCGAUAGCUGGUCUGAGAGGAUGAUCAGCCACACUGGAACUGAGACACGGUCCAGACUCCUACGGGAGGCAGCAGUAGGGAAUAUUGGACAAUGGGGGCGAACCCUGAUCCAGCCAUGCCGCGUGAGUGAAGAAGGCCCUCGGGUUGUAAAGCUCUUUUGUCCGGAAGAAAAGCAAUCGGUUAAUACCCGGUUGUUCUGACGGUACCGGAAGAAUAAGCACCGGCUAACUUCGUGCC
rnacentral:rRNA from 1 species